UGGUGGAGUGAUUUGUCUGGUUAAUUCCGUUAACGAACGAGACCUCGACCUGCUAAAUAGUUCGGCGAAUUCUUCACAGGAUUCGCGCGCGACUUCUUAGAGGGACUAUCGGUGCGUAGCCGAUGGAAGUUCGAGGCAAUAACA
rnacentral:rRNA from 1 species